GGUCAAGCUAGGAAGGGCAAACGGUGGAUGCCUUGGCGCUGAGAGGCGAUGAAGGACGCGGUUAGCUGCGAUAAGCUUCGGGGAGCCGCUAAACGGGCUUUGAUCCGGAGAUUUCCGAAUGGGGAAACCCGGCCAGAGUAAUGUCUGGUCAUCCCUCACCAUUUUGAUUAGCUUACCCUGAAGUGGGUUGAGCUACAAAAUGGUGAGGGAGGCGUACCCGGGGAAUUGAAACAUCUUAGUACCCGGAGGAGAAGAAAUCGAAGAGAUUCCGUAAGUAGUGGCGAGCGAAAGCGGAACAGCCCAAACCAGGGUAUAGCAAUAUACCGUGGGGUUGAGGACUGGCGGAAUGAUUCGGAAGGUCUAGCGGAAUGAGCGGAUGGAAAGCCGCGGCCGUAGAGGGUAAAAGUCCCGUACGCGAAAGAUUGGAAGACAGGCCAGGAUCCGGAGUACCACGAGGCACGUGAAACCUCGUGGGAAGCAGGGAGGACCACCUCCCAAGGCUAAAUACUCCCUGGUGACCGAUAGUAGAGGAGUACCGUGAGGGAAAGGUGAAAAGAACCCCGGGAGGGGAGUGAAAGAGAACCUGAAACCCUAUGUUUACAAGCAGUUGGAGGGAGUUAAGGCCCGACAGCGUACUUUUUGUAGAACGGUCCGGCGAGUUAUGGUAUGCGGCGAGGUUAAGUGCUUAUGGCACGGAGCCGAAGGGAAACCGAGUCUUAAGAGGGCGUGGAGUCGCAUGUCAUAGACCCGAAACCGGGUGACCUACCCAUGGACAGGUUGAAGCGGGAGUAAAAUCCCGUGGAGGACCGAACCACAUGACCGUUGAAAAGGUCUGGGAUGAGCUGUGGGUGGCGGAGAAAUUCCAAUCGAACCCGGAGAUAGCUGGUUCUCCCCGAAAUAGCUUUAGGGCUAGCCUCAAAAGAGUCUCGCGGAGGUAAAGCACUGAAUGGGCUAGGGGCCCUACCAGGUUACCGAACCCUAUCAAACUCUGAAUGCCGAAGAGACGUUUUUUGGGAGUCAGACUGCGGGAGAUAAGUUUCGUAGUCAAAAGGGAAACAGCCCAGACCAUCAGCUAAGGUCCCAAAAUCACAGUUCAGUGGGAAAGGAUGUGGGUUUGCUAAGACAACUAGGAUGUUGGCUUAGAAGCAGCCAUCAUUUAAAGAAAGCGUAACAGCUCACUGGUCAAGCGUUCUUGCGCCGACAAUGUAACGGGGCUUAAGCUUGCUACCGAAGCUGCGGAUUUGCGGGAUCUUCGGGUUCCGCAAGUGGUAGGAGAGCAUUCUCACCCGAGUGAAGUCGCGCUGCGAGGCGCGGUGGACGGUUGAGAAGAGACCCUGCCGGCAUGAGUAGCGAUAAUUGGGGUAGAAACCCUCAACGCCGAAAAUCUAAGGUUUCCUGGGGAAGGUCAGUCCGCCCAGGGUUAGUCGGUCCCUAA
rnacentral:rRNA from 1 species